CACCCACCCACUUCCCUCAGACCUCAGCUUGGGCUAGAACCUGACACUUGGUGUGACAUCUGCCUACCAUUAUAAACCUCUUCUGUUAGUUAAAUCACUGGGAACAGUAGCCCACAGUAAAAGUUUUAUUUGAUUCUGAGCACCAUUGACCCCACUCUCCACUUUUGUCUUUUGUUGUUGUUCAUACACAGAUUGAUUUAAAAUAGUAAAAUUGGGGCAAUAGAGAACUAGCUAAAGAUAGUAU
rnacentral:lncRNA from 10 species